UUUCUCCAUCAUUUAAUGGAUCCUAGUUCCAAAAAAAUCUCUGUGAUGGAAUUUGACGUUUCAAAGGUUCUUGAAGAGCUAAGACUCACUAUGGAUCAGUUCAUUGAUUUGUGUAUUCUCUCUGGAUGUGAUUAUUGUGAUAACAUUAAAGGUCGGGCAAUUCGUGAGGUUUGAGUUUUUUUGAUACAAGAAGUGAGCUUUGUUAGCAUGUAGCUUGCCUUGCUAAUUUGUAAAUUAAAAGCGUGCCAUAUGGAGAACAACAAAUGGAAAACAUGUGAUUUAAUGUAUAUGGAGA